rnacentral:sRNA from 1 species
GCCUUCGCGAGCGUUUGGUCGGGUGGUAGGUGAGUGGGUAUUGCGGGCCAGUAUCCGAGCAAAAGAUGGUGGCGCAGGCCGAGUUAAGAGCUUUAAUCCUGUGAAGCCAUCUUAGUGAAGAGUUUAGAGUGCUGAGAGUUGAAAGCUUGCACGUGGGAAACGUGCGGCCGGACCGCCACAUGUACUGAGGUUGAGUCGUGACGGCCACAGGCUCCGAGUUUUGGCGUGAGGAACCGCUGAUCGGCCACGGGCACCGAACUUGCUGGCCUCCGGCAUGUGCCUGAGGGGCGGCGGAAAAACCACCUUAAUUGGGGCGGAGGGUUAGUUUUAAGAGCAAAGGGCCUUUACUAAAAUGGCGAAGGCCUUCCGUCGGCGUUGUUUUAAAAUGGGAAGCCUCGACCCUGUAUUGAAACUGAGCUGUUCGAAGGCGGCGUUGUGUGCAAUUCGGAUUAAUGAAGGGGAAGGGUUUUGUGUGGAAAAACGCCUUGGAGUGUGACAUUUCUGCGAGAAUGCUUAAAUACCGAUUUCCCGCAGGAACAAUGGCGCUGUCUUCAGUGGCACAGUGGAGCAGCUCUGAAGAUGCAAAGAUACACGAAAAAACUUCCAGAACAUCUGGGAGAAUAUUUAAUGGAAAAUCGCUUGGUUAAAACCUGACACUCUUAACAGGUAUGUGUUGUUUUAGUACUUUAUGAUUGAGCAUACCAUUUAAUCCACACCUAAACUAAAUCAAAUUUUUUUUGUCAGUGAACAGCGUUCUGAGUGUGGACGAGUAGCCAGUGAAGAUAAUGAAUGUCGAACGUGACUGACUAGCAGCUUCAUUUUGAAUGAGGGUCGCUGUCUGCCCAUUGAUAGAGGCCAGAUUGUCUUGGAAGUUCCAAAGUUGCAACGAUUUCUGGCUAGUGCCACGAGGUUUACUUGACUGUUGUGUGAAAAGCUGAUAAGAAAACCAUCCAGAAAAAAGCUCUUCGUUUUACAAACAUGAAAAUAAAACAUGUAAUUUUG